GGAUUGGCAUCAGAUGUUAGCUCAGGGCUAAUCUUCCUCCAAAAAAAAAAAAAAAGGAACAGUAGAAACUGAGGUCAUGUCCAAAAUGGGAAUACCUCUGUCAGGCUGUUAGUUUGGGGAUCUGAGUGAAUUUAGUCAGCCUUCAAGGUGAGUUGGGUUUGUGGUUGCUGUGGUUGUCUUUAGUGGACCCACACACUUCAGAUUCCUCCAGGGGUGGGCUUGACUGCCACGACCUUGUAGUUUGUGUGAGGUCUGGAGCUCUCAGUCUCUCUGCUCCACCCUCAGAUUUCAGCAGGUGCUCUAUGCCUGAGCAUGGAGGGAGCUAUUUCCAUGGUUUUGCUCCUCCUCCAGCAGUACAUGGCUGUUAGCUGUACUAGAUUCAAGGCUCCCCGUGGGGCAGGGGAGGGGUUUCUCAGCUCUCCUGCUCCCGUCUGAGUCUUAGGCAGGCCCUGUGCACCUGUUCCAGUGGCAGACAGUCUCUGCCUCCUGCUCAGUGCAGGGUCUAGGGCACAGGCAGGUUCCAUGUCCCUUUCUCCAAAUUCUGCUUGUGUUGGUGGGUGUCUUAGAUGUGAGCGAGUUUGGGAAGAUCACCUUGGUCUUAUGAAGCCAGUCUAUUUACAAUUUUUCCUUACUCCAUGGCACAGCUUCCCAGGAUCUGAAUCAAAAGCUGAGUCUCUCCUUUUUGGUGAGACUUGCAGUACAAUUUUUGUCUUCCCAGCAUCACGGGACUGGCAAAUUCUCUCUUAGCUUUUCGUCUUCUUGUGUUUUUUACUCAGUUUCUCUGUUUCUUGUCCUGAAGCUAAUCUCUUAGAAAUCAGAAAAUGCCUUUAGGGAAAAUUAUAUAUAGACCAUUGGUCUCAGCUAUCUAUAGUUUUUUUCUCUUGAUCUUGGCCCCUCAUAUCAUAGCUGCUUAAUUGAGCCCUGAACUCCAUUUUUUGUUUCCCCAGCCCAGUUAAACUGCCACAAGCUCAAGAAUGCUGCUUUGAACGUUCUCUUGAAUCAGUGAAUGCCCCAAGGGAAGAACACAGCUGAGAAUGCAGGACUCCCCUCCACCCAUCUCCUUCUCUCCAAGAUCUUGGCCCUCGAGUCCUGGUUGCACUGUUGUUUCCCAGUGCCUUCAGAUUUUGUUUUGUUUUCCUUAGUAUUUCAUUCAGGUUUUAUAGUUAUUCUCAGUGACUGAAUUAAUCUCCUUCUAGCACCUCUGUUACAGCCAGAAGACAACGUUGCCUUAUUAUAUUCUAAACCCGAGCCCCUAACCAUCAAGUCUUGGUGAUUCUUAUAAAAUCCUCUUAAUUACCUUGUGUUCAAGCCUCACAUUCACUUUCUUCCCAUAGUUUAUGUAUUGGCAUAUAAUUGAGGUCAUGUUAUGGUAGCAUUUAUUUUUCCAUAAACUUUGGUUGAUUUGUCAAUAAAGAUCAUCUGGUUAUAUAUUAUAAUUUAUAGAAGAGUUGAAUAUUUUGAUACUACUUAGUCCAGUAUGUUUUUUUUUUGCCUAAGAGGAGGAAAACUACAGAUUAACAUCAUCAUGAAGAGUAAACCUUCACACUUGGAAGACAGAUCAGUGUACAGGAUUUGUAUUGGAGUUUACAUAGUUUUGAUUAGAUAAUGUCCUUAACAGAGGAAUCUCAUAGAGAGGCAAGUUGGAUAAGUAUAUAUUCGAUUCAAAUUAAUAUAGUAAUUGAACAAUACAUAGAAAAUAAAUACUGUGAUACAUGAACCUAGGUUAAGCAAGUUAAUCAAAAAAUUCUCUUGCAAAUGGAUUUUAACCUGAGUUCUAGCUAGCUGGAGUGAUAGUAAACUGUGCUGGUGGAAGUGAAGAGGUAGAAUGUUCUAGAAGUGAAGGACAUUUUUAAGCUAAAGAUUGUUGAUAAAUAGCAAGAAGAUGGAAGAUUAGGGAAGAAAUGGAAAUACAUUAGUAUUAAACAGUUUUAUAAUAUCUACAGAAAGGGGAGAAAUUUGAAAAGGAAUAUAAUCUGAGCUCAUAUUGAAAGCUAACACAUGUAGGACUGGUUGAAAGAAGGAAGUGACUGGAGUUGAGUGAUCCUUUUAAGAAGGAAGCUGUAGUAUGGCCACCAUCAGACUGAGGUAGCAAUGAAGGUAAAGUGGAAGGAUUUGAUUAAUACUAUAACUUGCAGCAUCUUUUGGUGGAAUGAAUGGAGAUGAAGACAGGGGAGAGUUUAAGAGAAUAAAUACAAGGAAGCCAGAUACCAUUUUUUUCUCAAUGUCAUUUUAAGAAAGUUAAGCUGAGGAAGUGACAAAUUGUAUUCUUGCAGAUCGUGGCAGGAGGGAACGUCACGGCAGGGAGGAUAAAAGUUUUGGGUGCUGUCUUUGUCUAAUUUAAUUUCAGGAGAUGAAUCUCCAUUUGAGAUUAAUUUAUUCAUUAUUGCAAUCAACACAUUUGUUGAACAAUUCCUACGUGUAAAGCAUUAUAAUAGAUACUUACAGAUGAUUCUUGAUCUCAAAGAAUUUACAGUCUGAUAGGAGUGAUGAGAUAAAACAAUUAUUUAACUCUGGGGAAAAGUAGAAAAUGGCAGUUUCAGUUCCUGGCUCAAGAAAGGUUUGUUGAAUGAAAGAAUGAAGGGCAGAGAGCCACACAUAAAAUACUAAGAGUUGAGACGAGAAGUUAUUUAUCCAUGAGAAGAUCAAGAGAGGCUUUCAUAAGGAAUAUGACAACUGAGCAAGACCAUAAAUGUCAGAUAGGACUUAGAUGUGAGACUGCAGGGAGCGGGUAAUGCCAGGUGGAGGUAACAGUGUCUGGAAGUGAAAGUUAGAAAGUUCAGGGUGCAUAGAAGAAAAGGUGAAGUUGAAGCGUGAAAGAGGGUCCUCAGCGAGAUCCAGCUGAGGGAGUAGGCUGGAACAAAAAUCUGGAGGGCCCUGGAUGCUCUAAGGAAUGUGGAGUUUAUUCAGAAAGUAAUAUUUAGCAUUAGAAAGAUAAUGUAUGGAUAACAAAAUAUUUGAAUCACUUGUGGAUGUACAAUUAGAAGUCUAAAGAGAAAGGAGGAACAGAAGAGUUGGGGCUCAAAGUCAUUCAUAAUGCAAACGUGCAGAUUCAUCCCUCCUUCCAGUGCUCAGGCUCUUGUUCAAAGGAUUCGUGUUACUGAGCUCAUACAGGUAGAGUGCAAUUCAUUCACUAGCACUCAGCCAAAAAAAACUCCUUACUGUCAUUAGCACUUAAUUAUGCUAUGCGAUGUGAAAUUCCUUAUUAAAUCUUUUCAGAGGCAGCAAGUAAGAAGAGUUAGGAAGCAAUUUCCUAGGAAAAGUAGUUUAUAUUUACUGUCUCCAUUUCUACGUUUUUCAUUCACUGCAAUCUGGAUUUUGUCUCUCAUUAUAAUAGAAACUGCUCUCAUUAAAGUCACCUUGGACUCCUGAAUCACCAAUCCCAAUGGCACUUUGCUCAAACGCCGCCUCCUCUAAGAAGGUUUCCUUAAUCUCAUAGACAGGGAAGAUACCCUUUCACCCGUUACGCUGAAGCCCUCUGAGCCCACCUCUGUGAUGGUACCUAUCGAACUGUAUUACAAUUAUUGACAGCCGUGUCAUUCCCUCUGGACUGUGACUUCCAUGAGGGCAGAAAGUGUGUCUUAUUCAACUUUGUAUUCCCAGCACCUGGUAUGAUGCUGUCUGAAUUAUUGAUAAAUGCAAACAAUAAACUCCCCUCUAUUAUCUCUCUCAAUUCUCUCCUCAAGAUACACUUUUAGAAAAAUACUGAAGACUUCCAAAUAUAAUCAGAAUAGAAACUGUCCUGAAGACUUCCCAAUGUCACUAGAAUAGAAACAUUUCCUCUGAGAACACUACUUUCACCUUCAUUUGUACUGUAAAUUAUCUGUCAUUAAAUGAUUAAUAUAGUAAUAAAGCUUAGAUGAUUCACAAUUGAGUCUCUUGCCCUCUAACCCUCAUCCACUGCUACAGUCCCUUAUCCACACUUCUUGUGACUCUACCGUGUUGGGGUUUCCUUGGGUAAGGACUAUUUAGAUUUAGCUAAAUAUUUUUAAAUAUCUGCUGUGCUCAAUGUGUUCUAGUUAGUGCUGGAGAUUCAAAGAUAAAUAAUAACUAAUAAAAAUAAACACCUAUGAAAUUUAUGGUAUUGUUUAUUAUUUCUAAUUUCAUCUGACAUAGUUUUUUCUAGUAAUAAAGCUCAUGGUCAAUAAACAUCUCAGUAUUUUAUUAUUCUGAUUGAUUGUUUUGCUACAUCCCUAGAUCUUUGAAAUUUAAUAUGCGAAGACCACUCUUGUCCACAUUUUUAUAAACACAUACACGCACACAACCUCUUUUAUGCAAUUUUGCAAAUACUUUGGGAUUUACUAACAUUGAUACAUCUGGCAACUUGGAAUUCUCUUAUCUUUGGUUUUCUCUCUCUCUUUUGCUCCUUUGUUUCAGUUUUUGCUAAAUUGUCUCUUCCCAUCAUCUACAAAGUCCGCACUUUCAUUCUUUUCUUUGAUUCUGGUUACUAUCUCCCUUUUCAAUCUUCUACUUAACUAUCAUCACUUCUCCCAUUAUCUUGUUAUCUAUUAUGUUGAUCAUUUUACUCCUAGGAAAGAUCUUCCUAGGGCUAUCUUAUGGUAGGACCAUGAAUGAAUGAUAUAACUAUAUAGGCAUCUAUAUAUGCCAUGAAGGUAGUCAUCCAAAAUCAUCCUCGGAAAAAUUUGGAAAAUGUGGGGGCAGCAUUUAGCAAGGGAACAGAAGUAUAGGGCAGCUAUCUUUUAAGAAAGUUAGUAUCAUAUUGGUAUCUAAUACAGUGCAAAGUCCAAGAGAACGAAGGAAUUGAGUCUGAGAGGUAAAUUAAAGUUUUUCAAUUGUCAACUCGUUAUUGUUCCAUGUGAGUUUAUAAUUUCCAUGAAAAAACGAUACAUAUUAUGAAUUAAAUGUCAAUAACAGCAUAUUAUCAAGCGUUAACAAGUGGUAGAGACUAAGCUUCGAUGAUUGUCAUAUGAGGGUUGGGUGAGGUGGAACCAAUAAAUGUAGGCGGGGCUGAGGUGGAGAACAGUGAUGCCCUGAUUUGAUAUCCCUUGUGAUAAAUAUCCCAGUGUCCUAAAUGUAUGGUGUAUAUAGUCCAUAUUUUUAAAAAACAUAUCUAUCCAACUAAUUUCAACAUUACAAUGUAUAUGAAAUAUACUAUGUGAUAAGGAAAUGUGUGACCAAAGGAAUCUGUAAAUGUUUUGCUAUGGUUUUUUUUCGUUCUGCUAAGAAAUUUUCAAUUUAAUAAUACUGAAGAUAUUUUAUAAAAAUACUGAAGUUAUUUUGAGUAGAGUAGUUGAGUACACCUCUAUUUAAAGAUCAUAUUCAUAUUUUUUAAAAUAAAUGAAUAUCUAAGCUUGUAUUCAAAUUUAGUUUGUGGUUUUUCCUCAGUGUAACGAAAGUCAAUUUUGGAUAAUUACGAGUUUGUUGGUAGAUGCUAUUAAAGAAAUUUUAAGUGUUCAUAUAACCACUACUUUUUUAAAUGUCAACUUAAAAAAUAUUUUUGGAAAUACUUUCCUCAAUGCUUGUAAACACCUGGUCUGUAUGACGGGGUAGGGGAGCAGCAGUGGAGUUUUGCUUUUGCUUUUAGAAAGAAACUUUGGAGCAUCUGUGCAUUUAGAUCCAUUGAAAGCAUUACAAAGACUUUGAAAACAGACUGAAAGAAAGCAGAGGUCCAAAAUCGGUCUUUCUAAUAUACCGCAACAUCAUUCCUGACGUAAACUUUUCUUACUUCUAAUUAUUCUUUACUUCUAAUAAAGUAUAAACUAUGCAUACAUGACAAGGUUUGCUUGUAAGAGAAUCUUAGAGCAGAUUUUCAGGAAAUAAAAUUUUCAGGAAAUGAAAUAUUUUUUACAAUGUACUAUUUGUUCAAACAACAUAAUGAACAAUAAGAUAUAUUGGUAUAAGUUGGCUAUACAUUUAUUUAAUUUUAAAGAUAUCAGAAUUAAUAUAUUACAUAAAACCACUCCUCCUUGAAGCAAAGCGUAACUGUUUGUCACAAUUAUUUUAAUAUACUUCUCUUCUAAGAUCUAGUUUAAACUCAGGGAAGCAAGGUUUGGAAUGGGAAGAGUUAAAAAGCACGAAGCAACAGUAACCCCAUUUAGAUAAGGGGAUAGAUGGGCGGAGCAAGGGAACAAUACACUAAAGUGCUUUUUGCUCACAGAUCUUGGUUCAAAUUAAGGUUAAAUUCCAAAGAAGGAUGUGUUUUCCCCAUGUGGAGUCUUAAAGGACAUGCCUUUGUUUCCAGCUUCCCAGAGAAGAUAUAUGUUAACACAAACAAACCAUUUCAUAAUAAAUUUACCUUUUAUAGAGUGACUAAUGCCCUGUGGAGAUAAGGUGGACUCUCAGUCACCUGUGUUUAAUCCAGGCUGAAGAAAUUGUGCCAAGGGCACACUGACGAAACUUUAUUCCUUUGGAGAGGAUGGCAGGAACUUGGUAGAGAGCGGAAAGGGUCUUGGUUUUAAAAGUCUCAUUGGGAUGACUCUGCCUUCCCCACUGUGAACACAGUUCAGCAUUUAUGUACUUUGGAAGGACAAAGAGGUGAGGAUAUUUGCUUUGGAAGAGAAGAUUUAUGGCUGAAGAACUAUGACUAAAUAGCUUAUUUGCUAAGAUAAACCAAACUGAAUUAGCAUUAAGGUUAAGAACUGAAGAAAAAACCUUUCUGUUGAGUUGCUCAAGAGUAUAUAACAAUAAAAGGAAGACAGAGGAUGCACUUCAGCUGCUACUAUAUCCUACAUUGUUAUAGAAUCAUCUUUUCUCUUUAAAAGCUCAAAGCUACCCAGACAAAUGAUUAUCUAUGCUACCAAAACAUGCAAAAAGAUGCUGCAAGAUGUUAAUUUAAUUAUAGCGGUGUAAAUGUCACAUCCAAUUCUCUUUAAAAGGAACAACAGAAAAUUGGAAAAUACAGUAUCUCUAGGUAAAUAAAAGAAUAUAAUGAGCUGACUGCAAAGAAGUGAGAAGUAAGAGAAUGGGCAACAGUUUCGUGGAUCCAGAGUCUUCGGCUGACCACUUGAUGAGAAGGAAUGAGUACUCUCCAGCAGAAUUCCCACACGGGAGAAACAGGCCUACUUACAGACUAGCUAAUGAAGUCCAUACCAGACACUUGGCCUUCUUUUUUAACCCUGAAAAGACAAGAUGAGAACUACAGGAAGAAAGGAAAGAACAAGGUAAAUAAACAGAAAACCUGGUCCCCCAAAGAAACAGUUUAAAGAACAAAAGUAAGAAAAAAUUAUAACUUAGACAGAGAGAUAAGAGACGACAUCAUGUUGAUUAUACAAGAUCAGGAUGCCAUGAAAAAAGAAUAAAAAAUAAGAAAGCAUUUUUAGAGAAAAAUACCAUUGACUAAAUUAAAUGUUAAUAGAAGGACUUGAUUGCACAACAAUGUGAAUGUACUUAAUAUGCCACUGAACUCCACACUUAACAAUGGUUAAAAUGAUAAAUUUUGUUAUAUACAUUUACCACAAUUUUAAAAAAUGACUAUGGGAACUUUCAUGUAACUUGCAAAAUGGGAAAGUAUUUCCCAGAAAAGCUCCUCUUAGCCAACAGCAGUGGUAAAAAUUUUUUAUCUAUAGACAAUCUAUUUUUACUCUUGAAGAUGGAAAGGUACUUGAAAGCAACAAUGAGGAAGCAGAUGCCAUAUUUAUAUUUAUACAAAUAAAUAUUUCAAAUCCAUUGACCGAAAAAAAGAACUUGAAAUAAAGUUGAGGAAACUUCUAAAACCAUGUUAAGUUAAUCAGAAGGUUAAAGAUUUAGAAAAUAUAAAUAAAAAUAUGAAAGAAUCAGUCUAGGAGGUACAACAUCUGGCAAUUAGGAAACCAGGAAGAGACAUCAGAAAGAAAGAAAAAAAGAGGGGAGAAAACUAUCAAAUAAACGUAAGGAGCAUUUGUCAGAGAUGAAAGACAAGAAUCUUGAAAUUGAAAGCAUCCAGAAGUACGAAGCACAAUAAAUGAAAGGAGAGCAUUCUUAGACACCUCCUUAUGUGAUUUCAGAACACCAAGGUGAAAAGUACUUUUAGCAUCUUCCAUGAGAAAAAGUCUACUAAGGAAAACUGAUUUGAAUCAUUCUGGAAUCUGUUACUGGAAGCAAAAAAAAGAGAAGAGUAGUAUCUUGAAAGUUUUGAAUGGAUGUAAUUUACAAAUUUGAACUACCAUUUACCUUUUGUUUGGAAGUUAGUUGAAGAGGGAAUAAAGCAAGAAAGAAGACAUGGACUCCUAGAAACAGUGAAACCAACCCAGUAGGGCAGUGAAGAGAAAUCCUACGACGACAGCUGUGCAGCAGCCUAGAGAGCACCCAACAGGUCCGGAUUACAGCAGAGGAUGGCGGGCUCUGGUGAGAAAGGGAACCACAUAAAACAGAAAGGAAGAGUGACAAGAUGGAAAAAGCUGAAAUAAUAAAGCAUGAGAUCCAAGAAAAAGAAAGGUAAUUAGAAAUUUCAGACAGGAUGAAACAACUGUACAAGAAAGUCAUGACUGAAGAAAGAAAGAAACACAAAAUAUGGUAUGAUUUUAAGUACUUGAGGGAGUAAAAAAAAUCCUUUUGUCUUGAUCCAAAGAACAUUCUCCUUUGGCAGAGGGACUGACAAAAAUGCAAUCCAAAGGAAAGGAACUAUAAUUCUUGAAUACCUCAUGGCCAGCAUAGUCAAUAACGCUGCUUCCUAUUUUUCAAAUAGGAAAAAUUGAAAAUCUGAACAUCAAUCUGUAUAUGAAGCAAUGAAGAAUUUCAUUGUUAAUUCCAUGUGGAUUAGGACAGGUGGAGAAAAGAAGAGAAAAUAAAAUACAAAUUCUUCACCUUCAUUCAACUUGUUGAAUACUUCUUAGGACAAUUAGGACAAUAAGAGUUCUUUACAGAUCUAUAUAUUUGCUAUUUCAAUGUUUUCUAGAAGUCUACAUUUUGUCAGUGUUUAUACUGAUAAAUAUAAUUAUCUAAAAAAUAAUCUGUGUAUGUAUGCCUUAUUUGAGUAUUUUGACAAUUGUUUUUGGAUUAUCUUUGCUAAAGAUUUCUGCCAUUUUUUAGAUUGAUAAUAUCAAUUGCAGAACCCAUAAACAGGGAAAUUAAAAGAAAAUGGAAUAGAGCUGUUGAUUCUUAGAAAUGACUUUGACAUGGCAAAAAUUCAGCAACCUGUCCAAUCAAGUACCAUGUACGGAAUGUGAAAACAGUCCUCAGGUGACAGGAGGAAGAAUGUGAUCUUGCUGCCAUUCCCUUCUUUGUCGGCAUAAACCAGAAAUUAUUUUAAGGUGAUCUUUCAGAACGUCUGUGGAGUCAUAUAUGAGUUAAAAAUUUUUGAAGAGUUAUAUAAAAAUAAAUACCUACAGAACUUAAACAUGAAGACACAAAGAAACAUAUCUGUCAUGGAAUUUGUUAAUAUUUAUGAACAAACACUGAUGAAUGCAAAAACUACGAGUGAUCUUCACACACAUGAAAGAGCCAGCAGAAUACUGAUUGUGAAAUUUGAGAUCCUGUGGUUCUUGUAGUAUAAUUAACAGUGUAAAGGAAGACUUUGAGUUCUCUAAGAUCCCUUUAGGAAGUUUUUCUCCCCUUGCACGCUCUGGUUUAACUCCACCCCACUGAUUUUAAAAGGCAACAGCACAGCAAACAAUAUUCACUUCCUUGU